AACGCAUAUUGCGCUCUCUGGUAUUCCGGAGAGCAUGCUUGUUUGAGUAUCAGUAAACACCCCUCAGAACUUUUUGAUUUUCGAAUCUUGGAGCUCUGGAUUUGAGUGAUCCCAACGCGUUCUUUCGCAGAACAUGGCGGGCCACUUGAAAUGCAGGUGCAGCUGGACUUUCUUCUGAGCUAAAAGCAUAUUUAUUUAGUCCUGUCAACACUUGUGUUGCGGAUUAUUACUUCUGCUGCAGCUAACAUAAAGGUUGAUUGUUCAAAUGCUGACUGAUGCAGGAUUUAUCAGUAGCGCAAGCUAUCUGUUAAACUCGAUCUCAAAUCAAGUAAGACUACCCGCUGAACUUAA
rnacentral:ncRNA from 2 species